AACGAACGCUGGCGGCAGGCUUAACACAUGCAAGUCGAGCGCCCCGCAAGGGGGGCGGCAGACGGGUGAGUAGCGCGUGGGAACGUACCUUUUGGUUCGGAACAACUCCGGGAAACUGGAGCUAAUACCGGAUAAGCCCUAACGGGGAAAGAUUUAUCGCCGAAAGAUCGGCCCGCGUCUGAUUAGCUAGUUGGUGAGGUAACGGCUCACCAUGGCGACGAUAAGUAGCUGGUCUGAGAGUAUGAUCAGCCACACUGGGACUGAGACACGGCCCAGACUCCUACGGGAGGCAGGAGUGGGGAAUAUUGGACAAUGGGCGCAAGCCUGAUCCAGCCAUGCCGCGAGAGUGAUGAAGGCCUUAGGGUUGUAAAGCUCUUUUGUCCGGGAAGAUAAUGACUGUACCGGAAGAAUAAGCCCCGGCUAACUUCGUG
rnacentral:rRNA from 1 species